AUGCUGCGCUCCUUCUUGUGCGCGUUCUGGUGGCCGCCGAGCGCCUGCGACUUGAGGAACUUCUUGUUGCAGAAGAGGCAGGGGAAGAGGCGCACGUCCUUGCCGUCGACGCACGCGCCGUCGCCGCCCGCCCCGGCUCCCCCGUCAGCCUCGGCGACGGACUGCGCGGCCGGCGCCAGCGUGAGCGAGAGGUCGGCCGGCUUGGACGGCGGCAUGGGCACAGGCACAGGGGGCGAGUCCAUGUCCAUGUGGCGGCGGCGGCGUUGGAUUUGUGGGCGAUUAAACAAGGUCGUGGGAAAGGAUAUGAUUAUAUCCACAAAGGGGGAGCGAGGAAGGGAGGUCGGGGGAAGCGAGCGUGCGUGCACUGGAGUGGUAUGUAUGGUUCGGCCCAGGAGAAAGGCGAUGGUUUGUUUUUCUAUAUAUGGCAACGGACGCAGGAGAAGAAGUGGAGUAGCAGCAGCAGUUCAGCAGUUUGGCUAA
rnacentral:rRNA from 1 species